rnacentral:rRNA from 1 species
CAGCCGCCGCGGUAAUACGAAGGGGGCUAGCGUUGUUCGGAUUCACUGGGCGUAAAGCGCACGUAGGCGGAUCCUUAAGUCAGAGGUGAAAUCCCAAGGCUCAACCUUGGAACUGCCUUUGAUACUGGGGAUCUCGAGUCCGGGAGAGGUGAGUGGAACUGCGAGUGUAGAGGUGAAGUUCGUAGAUAUUCGCAAGAACACCAGUGGCGAAGGCGGCUCACUGGCCCGGUACUGACGCUGAGGUGCGAAAGCGUGGGGAGCAAACAGGAUUAGAUACCCCCGUAGUCCCUGUCUCUUAUAC